rnacentral:RNase_P_RNA from 1 species
AGUCCGGACUUCACAGGGCAGGACGGUGGGUAACGCCCACCCGGCGCGAGCCGCGGGAAAGUGUCACAGAAACCAUACCGCCCGUUACGGGUAAGGGUGAAAUGGUGAGGGUAAGAGCCCACCGCGUCGCCGGUGACGGCGGCGGCAGGACAAACCCCGUCCGAAGCAAGGCCGAAUAGGGAAGCCAUGGAGUGGCCCGCUCCGCUUCCGGGUAGGCCGCAUGAGGUGUCGGGCAACCGGCAUCCCAGAUGAAUGGUCACCGGCCGUUUACACGGUCACAGAAUCCGGCUUACAGCUCUUCUCCCCUC